rnacentral:misc_RNA from 1 species
AAGUCGUAACAAGGUUUCCGUAGGUGAACCUGCGGAAGGAUCAUUAAAGAGUAAGGGUCUCCGGGCCCGAUCUCCAACCCUUUGUUUAAUUACCAUGUUGCUUUGGCGGGCCCGUCUCACGACCGCCGGAAGUUUGGUCUCAACCAGACUUCCGGCCCGUGCCCGUCAGUGGCCCCUUCAAAUUCUUGAUUAAAUAUGAUGUCUUAGUUACAAACUUAAUAGUUAAAA